rnacentral:rRNA from 1 species
CCUACGGGAGGCAGCAGUGAGGAAUAUUGGUCAAUGGACGAGAGUCUGAACCAGCCAAGUAGCGUGAAGGAUGACUGCCCUAUGGGUUGUAAACUUCUUUUAUAUGGGAAUAAAAUGUUCCACGUGUGGGAUUUUGUAUGUACCAUAUGAAUAAGGAUCGGCUAAUUCCGUGCCAGCAGCCGCGGUAAUACGGAGGAUCCGAGCGUUAUCCGGAUUUAUUGGGUUUAAAGGGAGCGUAGGUGGAGUGUUAAGUCAGUUGUGAAAUUUUGCGGCUCAACCGUAAAAUUGCAGUUGGAACUGGCAGUCUUGAGUACAGUAGAGGUGGGCGGAAUUCGUGGUGUAGCGGUGAAAUGCUUAGAUAUCACGAAGAACUCCGAUUGCGAAGGCAGCUCACUGGACUGCAACUGACACUGAGGCUCGAAAGUGUGGGUAUCAAACAGGAUUAGAUACCCGAGUAGUC